UAAAUAUGUUCCCUAUAUUCUAAUGGAGUGGAUUUUGAUCUCCCUUAAUUGGUUUAAAGCUUGUCCUGACAUUCAACCUUUGAUUCAGGAAUUUGUGAAUUCUGGAUACUAUCCUGCUGAUUUGAAUACCAUGGAUGAACUUUUCGUUGAAGAUGAAAGAGAAUGGACGAAUGUUUUGUGGAUUCACGCAAAGGAACAAAUUAGAUUUCCUCAUUUACAAUCACAAAAAUAAUAGAAAUAAUAAUAAUACAAAAAUUAAGAAAUACUUAUUUCUUUGCCACCACGCCGAAUUCCAACAAACUUAAAGACCAACAAUUGUAUUAUUCGGAAAAAGAUGUAAAAAUUUUAUUAUCUGGAAAAAGAUGUAAAUAUGUAUUAUCUGGAAAAAGAUAUAAAAAUGUAUUAUUGUACUAUCUGGCUUGAAAAAGUUAUAAACUUUGUAUUUUCUGGAAAAAUAUGAAAUGUAUGCUAUCUUCAAAAAGAUAUAAAGUUUUAUUAUUGUAUUAUC